rnacentral:rRNA from 1 species
UACGUAGGGUGCAAGCGUUGUCCGGAAUUAUUGGGCGUAAAGAGCUCGUAGGCGGUUUGUCGCGUCGACUGUGAAAACCCGAGGCUUAACCUCGGGCCUGCAGUCGAUACGGGCAGACUAGAGUUCGGUAGGGGAGACUGGAAUUCCUGGUGUAGCGGUGAAAUGCGCAGAUAUCAGGAGGAACACCGGUGGCGAAGGCGGAUCUCUGGGCCUUACCUGACGCUGAGGCGCGAAAGCUAGGGGAGCAAAAGGG